GAGUGGCAAGGUGUGGCGCUUGCGCGCGGCUCGCGGGAGGGCGCUAGCGUCGCCGCCGCGGCAGUACCGUGCGCGUCGCCUACUGAGACCUACCUGCUGCUCGUUGUUCGCUCACCUGGCUCAUUGAUCGCGGACGAUCUCAUUAGAAAACAUCGUGCAGUCAUGAUUUGUUACACCGACGAGACAAUCACAGUGUUUCAAUAGGUGUUUAAGUGAUGAUUUACGGUUAAAUGUCCGUUCGGAUGUCCAGCGCGGUAGUAAACAACCGGUCCAGAUAGGAGGCUGCGUCUGCCUCACGCCCGGCUGUAGUGGAAUGCGGCAAUUUUAACAACUGCGGACCUCGGGACCCAUAUACGAAUUGGGAUUGUCCGGUUGCUUCUUAGAAAAAAGGUGAUGCACCGAGGAUGAGUCGCCGCGCGCGGCCGUGACAUGGGAGCGCAGGCAUGGGCUGGCGCGCCGAGCAAACGCCGCACAUCGCCGCCGGCCUGCUCCUUCUGCUGCUAGUCUACCUGCCGGUUACUUGCCACCAAGACCACCAAGAUGCUGUGCACAUCACAGCCAUCCUCGGCGAGAGCGUGGUGUUCAACUGCCAGGUGGAUUUCCCCGAAGACAUACCCGUGCCGUACGUGUUGCAGUGGGAGAAGAAGGUAGGCGAAACGGGACAGGAUAUACCGAUCUACAUCUGGUACGAGAGCUAUCCAACGCACAGCGGAGAAGGUUAUGAGGGCAGGGUGUCGCGGGUCGCUCCUGACUCGCCGUACGGCGCGGCUAGCCUCAACCUCACUAAUAUACGAGAGUCAGACCAGGGAUGGUACGAGUGUAAGGUGGUGUUCCUCAAUCGGUCACCGAAUCAACACAAGAACGGCACGUGGUUCCACUUGGAUGUGCACGCUCCACCUCGCUUCUCCAUCACGCCGGAAGAGAUUAUAUAUGUUAAUUUAGGAGAUGCCAUUAUACUCAACUGCCAAGCAGAAGGCACACCAACGCCAGAGAUUCUGUGGUACAAGGACGCGAAUCCCGUGGAGCCAUCUGGCACAGUUGGUAUCUUCAAUGAUGGAACCGAACUGCGCAUCAGCAACAUACGACACGAAGAUAUCGGAGACUACACGUGCAUCGCGCGCAACGGGGAGGGCCAAGUGUCGCACACCGCCCGCGUUAUCAUCGCUGGUGGAGCUGUCAUCACUAUGCCACCAACAAACCAAACAAAGCUGGAAGGAGAGAAAGUCCAAUUCUCAUGCGAAGCUAAGGCACUACCCGGAAAUGUUACGGUUAAAUGGUUUCGCGAAGGCGCCCCGGUUGCUGAGGUGGCGGCUUUGGAGACACGGGUUACAAUACGAAGAGAUGGCGCUUUAGUAAUCAACCCUGUCGCUGCUGACGAUUCGGGACAAUAUCUAUGUGAAGUGUCGAAUGGCAUCGGAGACCCGCAGAGCGCUUCAGCUUAUUUGAAUGUAGAAUAUCCAGCAAAAGUGACAUUUACACCGACGGUACAAUACCUACCAUUUCGAUUGGCGGGAGUAGUGCAGUGCUACAUAAAGGCGAACCCACCCCUGCAGUACGUCACGUGGACGAAGGACAAAAGACUUCUAGAGCCAUAUCAAACCAAGGACAUUGUGAUCAUGAAUAACGGAUCCCUGCUAUUCACUAGAGUCAAUCAAAACCAUCAGGGGCGAUAUACCUGCACACCAUACAAUGCGCAGGGCACUCAGGGAUCUUCAGGACCUAUGGAAGUGCUUGUUAGAAAACCGCCAGUGUUCACUGUAGAACCGGAGCCAUUGUACCAAAGAAAGGUCGGCGAAUCAGUGGAGAUGCAUUGCGAAGCGCAAGAAGCGGAGGGCACGCAGCGGCCGACCGUGGUGUGGCGGCGGCGGGACGGGCUGCCGCUGCAGAAGAGCCGGGUGCGCGCGCUCGGCGGGAACAUUACCAUCGACACGCUGCGCCGACAGGACUUCGGCAUAUACCAGUGCGUCGCAUCCAAUGAGGUGGCAACGAUAGUAGCAGACACGCAGCUCGUGAUCGAGGGCACGCAACCGCACGCGCCGUACAACGUAUCAGGCACGGCCACGGAGUUCCAGGUGACGCUGCGCUGGCAGCCCGGCUACGCGGGCGGCCCGGACUACAAGCAGGACUACACCAUUUGGUAUAGAGAGGCCGGCUUCUCGGAGUGGACCAAAGUACCCGUCACGCCGUCUGGAGCGACUUCUGUCACAAUUAACAGGCUUCAACCAGGGACCACUUACGAAUUCCAAGUCAACAGUAAGAAUACAAUAGGAGAAGGAAUGAUGAGCAAAGCUAUUACAAUAAGGACUCUUGAUGUAGGCGCAAAACCAAAGGUGGCUCCGACGACUGCGGGACCCGUAGACGAAAAGAUCUUUCAGAAUGCUCCUGAAGGAUCGGGUCCAAAGUCGGGCCCUCCCCGUAAUCUCACCGUGACGGAAGUGCACAACGGUUUCCUGAUCACGUGGCAGGCACCGCUGGAGCGCUCCCACCUCGUGCAGUAUUACACUAUCAAAUACCGCACCGACGCUCAGUGGAAGACUCUCAAUAGGGGCCAGAUACGACCGGAGGAAACGAGUUAUCUGGUGAAAAACUUAGUUGGCGGACGCACAUAUUACUUCCGUGUGCUGGCGAACUCGGCGACUAGCUACGAGAGUUCGGAUGAAGUGAGAUUCUCCGUUCCAGCGCGCGUGAAGCACAAAGCGAUAACGGCCGGCGUCGUCGGCGGAAUAUUGUUUUUUAUUGUCGCCAUCAUUCUGUCCGUGUGCGCUGUAAAGAUUUGCAAUAAACGUAAACGACGCAAACAGGAGAAAGAAAUUAUUCGGUUGCAGCAUACAACAUGGUAGCCGCGCGACUCACUGACCUUCGCGCCGCAGACAGCACUCAAGUGCCUUUUAAAAAAUUUAGAGAAAGCGGAAUAUCGAGUGUAGUUCAAUGUUUGCAAUUCACUGCGAACUGGAUCUGGCCGGCAUCGCGGUGUGGCGACGAGGCGCGGUACUGGGGAGUGAUCCGGCGGGUGUCGCCUGCGCCCUCCGCGU
rnacentral:misc_RNA from 1 species